AGAAUCAACGCUGGCGGCGUGCCUAACACAUGCAAGUCGAACGAGAAAGUGGAGCAAUCCAUGAGUAAAGUGGCGCACGGGUGAGUAACACGUGACUAACCUACCUUUUAGUGGGGGAUAACCUAGGGAAACCUGGGCUAAUACCGCAUAAUACCUACGGGUCAAAGCAGCAAUGCGCUGGAAGAGGGGGUCGCGGUCGAUUAGUUAGUUGGCAGGGUAAUGGCCUACCAAGACUGUGAUCGAUAUCCGGCCUGAGAGGGCGCACGGACACACUGGAACUGAAACACGGUCCAGACUCCUACGGGAGGCAGCAGUGGGGAAUUUUGCGCAAUGGGGGAAACCCUGACGCAGCAACGCCGCGUGGAGGAUGAAGUCCCUUGGGACGUAAACUCCUUUCGAUCGGGACGAUAAUGACGGUACCGGAAGAAGAAGCCCCGGCUAACUUCGUGCCAGCAGCCGC
rnacentral:rRNA from 1 species